AUUGAACGCUGGCGGCAGGCUUAACACAUGCAAGUCGAGCGGGCGAGGUUGCUUCGGUAACUGAGCUAGCGGCGGACGGGUGAGUAAUGCUUAGGAAUCUGCCUAUUAGUGGGGGACAACAUCUCGAAAGGGAUGCUAAUACCGCAUACGUCCUACGGGAGAAAGCAGGGAACCUUCGGGCCUUGCGCUAAUAGAUGAGCCUAAGUCGGAUUAGCUAGUUGGUGGGGUAAAGGCCUACCAAGGCGACGAUCUGUAGCGGGUCUGAGAGGAUGAUCCGCCACACUGGGACUGAGACACGGCCCAGACUCCUACGGGAGGCAGCAGUGGGGAAUAUUGGACAAUGGGGGGAACCCUGAUCCAGCCAUGCCGCGUGUGUGAAGAAGGCCUUUUGGUUGUAAAGCACUUUAAGCGAGGAGGAGGCUACCGAGAUUAAUACUCUUGGAUAGUGGACGUUACUCGCAGAAUAAGCACCGGCUAAUUCUGUGCCAGCCGCCGCAGUAACAC
rnacentral:rRNA from 1 species